CAGAUUGGGCUGGGGGGGACGAAGCAUGGAUGCAACAGGCAAGCUGCAGAAUUAAGGAUUGCAUUCCAGAGGGGAGUGAAACUGAUCAGAGAGGGAGGUGCCUUGGGCUUGGAGACUGACUCAGAGCAGAGUUCAGCUGGGAAUGUAGUAGGACUUUCUUGGGGCAGGAGAGUGCGGGAUACUCCAGGAACACAGCACAGGGCUGGAUGGGAGGAAUGUCAGGAGUGGAUCUAUGCUAUGAUCCAUACCUGCAGCAGGAGCUGCCAUUCCUAAAAUUCUGUCAGGACAUUGGAUCCUAAAAGUUUUUGUUUUGAAUCAUUUGCAACAAGAAGAUAGGAGAAGAUAUACCAGGAGAUCCAAGAGGACACGUCUGCUCUGAAGGAUGUCCAACUUCCAGUCCUUGUUCCUCCACCUGUUGAUUCUUCAUCUCUGCCAUGGCAGUGAAAAGGUGUCUCAUAGGAGAUCACGACAAACUGUGGAAGAUGACCCUGUAGAGAAUAAAAUUGCAGGCACAUGGGGAUCCUGGGGACCAUGGUCCUCUUGUUCACAGACCUGUGGAGUGGGAGUCAUCGAAAGAAGCCGUUCUUGCUUGUCUCCAUAUCAGCAGGUCCCGUGGGUACCAAGGUCAGAGCCAAGCCCACACAACAUUCAACCUCAUCCAGAGCCACCUUUUCGUGAUGAGAGAGGCAGUAUAUACUCUAUGGGGCCAGCAAGGCCAUUAUACCCACUUCAUAUAGAAAGGGAGAUUGCAGCUCCAUUCGUGGAGCCCUAUGUACCAAGAAACCCUCCACCUAGUCGAUAUAAUCAAUUUAAUCGUAAUGCCAGAGAAGAGGUAUUUGCUGGGGGAUCUCAACCUACUUAUGCAAGACGAGAGCAACCCCCCUAUCAGAGAUCUACGUCAAACCGUGGACGGACAGCACCUCAGUCCCCAGAAACACUUUGGCAAGCAUCACCACUGGACAUGCCAUUCAGACAAGAUGCACUUCGUGCUCCUGAAACCAUCUCCAUUCAUAGAAAACCUCACCAAGAUGUCCCAUUUAACAGGAGAAAUAACUCCCGUGUUGAUGACUCCUCAUGGCCAUUCUUUCCAGAUUCCAUCCCUCUUCUGAAACCUGAGAGCUGGGAGGAGGCCAACCCAGGACGGGCAUUGCCACCUUUAUCUCCCACUAAGGAAUCUCGUUUUUCACGAAGGUCUCGAGUAAGAAAUGCAAUUAAGCCUGGGAGAUAUGGUUAUGGAAAAGUACCAUUUGCCUUGCCCCUACUUACUGAACAAGAUGAAUCGCAACGCUUUAAAAGACAUCACAAGUUAAUGACCUUUGGCACUACUGCUAUCCCAAGGAGAGAGAAAAAGAAGGACUUAACAGCAACACGAAAAUCAUUAGACAGCCCUGGAGAACAUGGUAGUGAAUCCCCAGGUCAAGCUGUUGACUUUCCUGGCACAUCUUCCAAAACGAGAGCCCCAUCUUUGAGAAAAACCAAAAGGUCUAGUCAGACUGAUUACCCUUCUUGGCCAAAAGAAUCUGUAAAUUCUUCAGCACAAAAAAUGCUUUAUGGUUUUCAGCCUAGUCAGCAUGAAGGAGAGUCUUCAGAACAUGAGUCUCCUGUUGUUGGAGAAGCUGAUUCUGUCUUGAUGGUUGGAAGGCAAAUUUUCAACCAUGGAAAAACUGACACUAAUCUGGAAGCUGACCUCUCAGGUAUGGAGACAGAAAAGGAGGAAGAUGAUCCCACUGAGAAUAGGAACAGUGGAACACUUCAUGGUUUUAGCACCAGUAAAACGCUAGAAGAGAAGACACCAUCAACUCAAUCUCCACCAUUGAAACGGGCUUCUAGACCAAUGCAGUCGGACAUAGUUGUUCAGCGCAUGGAUAUUGUAAUAAGAAAACUUGCGAGUAGUCAUCAGUCAUUCAAUGGGAAGAAUAGUCAUGAUGAGCAGGUAGCACAACCGCAGAGGCAGAGCAAGACUCCCUUACAAAAUUCUCAUGCCACCAGUGAUGAAGAAGUAAAACAUGGACAAGACAAUCACAAAUCUGAUUCAUCACACCGUCCUCGAUCACGUAGCCAAAGACAAAGUCCAUAUAGGCACAGUACAGAUGGUAGCAGGGCAUAUCAGAGUAUUUUUAGAGAUCAUCCAUCCAGGCCUGUUCAAGGAGAUACUUGGGCUUCACUUGGAGGAAACCCAUCCCUUACCUUUGAAAGAGGCCAAGAUCCAAGACAAAGCCAUCAUCCAAAUUCAGACGUUCCUCUUUCCCUAUAUAAUCCCGGAACAGAAGAAUUUCACUGUGCGGGUCCGAAGAAGCAAUACAAGUCAUGCACUCAAGAGCCAUGUCCACCAGGUCAACCUGACGCUAGAACUUUACAAUGUUCAACUUUUAACAACCAGGAGUUCAUGGGUCGUCUGUACCAGUGGGAAGCAUUCACUGAAGUGAGCGGUAAUCAAAGGUGUGCUCUUAACUGUCGACCCAUUGGCUAUCGUUUCUAUGUUCGUCAUACCGAGAAGGUCCAAGAUGGAACUCCUUGCGAAGCUGGUUCUGUGGAUGUUUGCGUUGAUGGGCAAUGUCUGAGCCCAGGUUGUGAUGGCAUACUAGGAUCGAACAGUACGCUAGAUACGUGUGGAGUGUGCGGUGGAGAUGGUUCUACAUGCAAGUUCAUCACUGGGACGUUCAAGGACACUAAUAUUCCUAUUGGCUACCAUAAAAUUCUGGAGAUUCCAAAAGGGGCCACGCAGAUCAGUGUCCGAGAACUUACCUGGAGCCCUAACUACCUAGCUUUGAGAAAUCGAUCAGGGAAACCCAUUAUUAAUGGUAACUGGGCUGUGGACCCACCUGGAAAAUACGAAGUAGGAAGCACUGUGUUUACCUACAACCAACCUGGACGUGAGGAACAAGAAGGAGAAUCCUUCACUGCCCCUGGACCCACCUCUGAAGCCCUUGAUGUCUAUAUGAUAUUUCAGCAGGACAAUCCUGGUGUCUCCUUCCAGUAUUUCAUCUCCUCACCACCCGGCUCUGAUAACCCCAGUCACAUCUCCCACGUCCCGCAGCAGGAAAACGGACCUCUGAGAUCAAUGCCAUCCAGUUCUUCCCUCCCACAGACUAACUUACGAAAUAACCCUGUGGAGGAACGCAUCCGGGUCCCACCACCUCAGGCAAGGCCACCGCGGCCGGCUGGCACUUUGCAGCGCAACGUACGAAUCCCUCCUCUCGCGGCUCCUCCUGUUCCCUAUUGGCCAGAGCAACCUCAGUUUUUCUGGAGACGUGUUGGAAACACGCCAUGUUCUGUUACCUGCGGGAAAGGGUUCUGGUACCCCAUAUACCAGUGUGCUUCCAGAAGCUCCUUGGAUGAGGUUAAUGAGGAGGAAUGUGACUCGUCGACAAAGCCAUUCCCUCAAGAGGAGGCCUGUAACACCCAGCCCUGCCCCGCAUUCUGGGACGCUGGUAACUGGUCAGUCUGCAGCAGGACUUGUGGCAGUGGAAUACAGCAUCGGCAAGUCCUGUGUCGGCAGAUGUAUGCCAAUCGGACCACUAUGGUCCAUCCACAGAGGUGCAGCCACUUGGUGAAACCGAAUGUUACUCAGACGUGUCAACUCCGUAUCUGUAGCCAGUGGGAGAUCCAAAGCAACUGGAGCUCGUGUUCAGUCAUGUGUGGUCUUGGCCAAAGGACUCGUCAUGUCAGAUGUGUCAGUAACCAAGGGGAUGUUAUUGGUGAGGGAGAAUGCAGCAACCGACUCCGUCCUAGGACCAAUGAGGUCUGCGAUAUGGGACCUUGCGUUCGAAGCUGGUUCCACAAUCACUGGGGCUCCUCAUGUUCUUCAGAAUGUGGACCUGGGAUUCAGCGCCGUUCAGUCUUCUGUCUCUCUAGUUCUUCUACGGAUGAGUCCCAAGAUGGCUGCCCAGGGAAUAAACCUUCUGACAUGAGAGUAUGCAAUAGUGGGCCAUGUGAGCGGACAGUCAAGUGGUACACUGGACCGUGGUCUCAGUGUUCCACAGAUUGUGAUGAAGGUUCGCAGAGACGUGAUGUGAUCUGCAUUAGCAAAAUGGGCUCAGACUUUAACGUGACCGACCCAUCUGAGUGUGCUCAUCUUGAGAAGCCACCAAGCCUACAGUCCUGUAAUGCCGGACCCUGUGGGUCACGCUGGUUCACAACCCCCUGGAGCACAUGUUCACAGUCUUGCGAAGGAGGCGUGCAGGUAAGAGAGGUGCGGUGCCUGGCAGCCGACAAGACUUACAGUCAACAGUGUGACCUGGAUUCCAAGCCUGAUGAGAAGCGCGCGUGUAAUCCUCAGCCCUGUUCCUCUGUAGUAGAUAACAACUGCCGCGAUUUGUAUCACAACUGUGCCGUGGUGGUGCAAGCACGACUCUGUGUCUACGCCUAUUACAAACAAGCUUGCUGUUCCUCUUGUGCCCACUCCCUGCAACGAAGGACGUCAGAGAGCCGAUAGCGGGCAGGUCGCCAUCCCCCACCUCACCAGAUUUUAUAUUUUAUAUAUGCAGAAGAGACAGUAUUUAUUUACCUCUUUAGCGCUAUGUCGGGUGGAAGCUUUUUCCAGGCCAAACGUCCCAACGGAGAAAUGCUAAAGACAGAAUUGUAUAUUUUUGCUUUUAAUGUUCUCCUCUUGCUCACAUGGGUAGGGGCGGAGGAUUUUGCUUUCCCAAUUCUUUUACGGUGCUAGAUUGCCGGUAUAUCGCCAUCCUCAUACAUUGCAACUGUGACUUUUGGGAAACACAUUAUGCCAUAUAAUAUUGGCGCCAUAUAGGAAUCAAUCAACAGUAGGGGAAGGUCAUGUAAAGACCAGUGGACACCUAGUCGGUGGCUGUAGUCAACUCUUGGCAUCUUUCCCUCACUCUAGUUUUUACAAUCCCUCUUAUUGGAUCAUGCUUGCAAAGUAAUCAAAAUUCUCAAAAGACAAAGACAGAGGACAAAAAGAGGGUUGUCCUCUGCUGUCUUCCAAAAACAGUGUUACGCCUGCCCAUUAGUUGUACCUGGUAUUGCUGGUCAGCCCCAUUGAAGUAAAUAAGCUGCAAUACCAGACCCAACCUGUGGACAGGUGUGGCACUAUUUUUGAAAGAAGGCAGCCAUGUUUUUCUAUCCAGGUCAACCCACAAAUUUUUUUCCUGUGUAUGGUGACAAUCUUUGUUACCCAAGACCACGUUAUUUGUGGAAAGAGACCUUUAGGAGUGGGAUUACAUACAGAUUUUUCUCUCAAGACUGGAGCAGAAUGUAAGUAGAUGCCAUGUAAUUAAAGGAGUUCUCCAGUUUCAUAAUGAUAUUUUUUAUCGGCCCAAACACUGCAUAUUUUUGUCCCAUAUAGCUCUUUUUCAUGUCAGCACUUUCCUUCCCCUAUUAUCGGCAUCACUGCAUCCUGGCAGGAUGUUUACAUGCAGAACUUCCUGUUUUCCUGUUGCUUUGCGCUAAUGUUUCUUGGGGAUUUGCUCCCCUUGCCACCCUGUUCUCUCUGCGGUAGUCACAUCUUCUACACCUGUUUGCUAGGCAGAGCAAACCCUGAGAAACAUUAGAGCAAGGCAUGCUGGGUUUGUUUAGAAAACAGGAAGUUCUGCAUGUAAACAUCCUGCCAGGAUGAACUGAUGAUGAGAACAGGGGAAGGAAGGAAAGUGCUGACAUGAAAAACCUGUAUAAAAGGUAAAUAUAUGCAGUGUUCGGGUUACUCUGGCAAAUACAAUUUCAUCAUAAAAGUGGAGAAUGCCUUAAAGAUCAUGAGACUUUCGCUUGGUUUUAUCACAUGACUCAUUAGGGCCAUGUUCUUGGGGUUUACAGGAUUAGAAAAACAUGUCUUCUUUCUUUCAUAAACCGCACCUCCACCUGUCCAUAGGUUGUGAUUGGUAUUGCAGUUUAGUUCUAUUCACUCUAAUGAUGCCGACCUGCAAUACCAGGCACAGCUAGUGGACAGCUGUGGUACUGUUUAUAGAAAAAAACAGCCAUGGUUUUCUAAUCCUGGGCCCUUUAAGGGAAGAUUUUGGUGACUGGCCACCACAGUUUUGUGUAACUGUUAGUUUCUGGUAAUUGUAUGAUGCCUGUGUUGGCAAAGUUGGAGAAAAUAUUGAGACAGAUGCCAAACAAGGCAGGUUGUUAAAUCAAAGGGCUAAACCUAUAGCAGUCUGACAGUUGACCUUGUUGUCUAAGGAGCUUCAACCCAACUGCAGCCAUUUUGUGUUAUCUACAUCCCACACUAUGAGUCCUGAAUGAAGUUUAUGGAUCGAAGACCUUUGUUCAGGCGCCUGAUAACUUGUUGUGCUGGGUUUAAUUGAGAGGCGUAUCAUGCAACAAGAUGGAUGCCUCCACCAUGUGUAUGCAAGAGGUGCACAUUAUAUGAUCAGGGAGUUUUUGAUGGUGCUUUUAACCCUCUUCCUCUCCAAAUUACUGUAAAAUCCCAGAUCAUUACUGUGAAUGUUAAGACAAUCACUUGUCAGUUAUACAGAAUGGCGGCUUUCAUUUUAUAGAUUUGUUGGAAGGUAAGAAUGGCCAUGGACAACCCCUUUAAUUUUUUUUUUACAUAGAAAUGCAUUAGAUCUGCACAUAAUGGAGCAGUUUAUGAAACUGUUACCCAUAGAAACCAAUUACAGUGCAGCUUUAUUUUCUCUUGGUGCUCUUGAAAAUUCAAUCAUAACCUCACAAAUAUUCCUUGAUCUUUCAGUUUGGGAGUUGAUGUUCUUGAUUGGCAGGAACCCACUCAGCUACAAAUUAGUCCCACCAACAAAAUGGCCGCUUCCCUGAUGUGCAUCUGACAAGUCUGAUUUUCAAUAAGCUGUCUCAGGACCUACAUAUAUAUAUGUCCAGAGUAUUAUGUAACCUCUGGUGACCCAUGGCUUAUCCUACUCCUUCAAGACAGGCGAUAAUAUAGGAUAGUUAACCCCUCUACUUCCACAGCAGAGUUUUCGUGGCAAGUGGUGGUUCACAUGGGGAGGUCUUGGAUAAAGUAUAGUAAAAAGGGUAGUAAAAUCCAAAAAGUCAGCAUUUGUUUUAGGCAUUGAAUACAAUAGGAAACACUGGUUGCAUUCGUUUAUUGGGUACAUCUUGAGUGUGUGGGGGGGGGGGGGGGGGGGGGGGAAUUGUGUCACAAGUUGUCGCCAAACUGUGACUUUGUCCUUUCCAACCAAUCGUAUAUGUGCCUUAACUACUUUCCAGCCAUUAUUUUGAAUCUGAUUGGUUACUGAGGUGGACACCAACAUCCUAUGUGCACUAGUUUUUCUGAUUUCUUUAGGAUCUGUUCACAUGUGUAGGCCGUGCCGCACCAGGAUCAUACCUGAAAAAAUGCUACAACUCUUCUUAAAGGGGCAUCUUUAGGUUAUAAAAGUAGUUAUGCUUUU